rnacentral:rRNA from 1 species
GCGGAGGGUGCAAGCGUUAAUCGGAAUUACUGGGCGUAAAGCACACGCAGGCGGUUUGUUAAGUCAGAUGUGAAAUCCCCGGGCUCAACCUGGGAACUGCAUCUGAUACUGGCAAGCUUGAGUCUCGUAGAGGGGGGUAGAAUUCCAGGUGUGGCGGGGAAAUGCGUAAGAAUCUGAAGGAUUACCGUUGGCGAAGGCGCCCCCCUGGACGAAGACUGACGCUCAGGUGCGAAAGCGUGGGGAGCAAACAG